rnacentral:lncRNA from 1 species
GAGCAUAAUAAAUAUUGUCGUUUUAAGCCACUAAGUUUGGGGUGGUUGUUAUGCAGCCAUAGACAAUUAAUACAACUGUGUAUACCAAAGGCAGUAAAGUAUUAAGAACACCUUCGACAGUUUUGGUAGGCCCAAGCACUGUAUAAUUAGAGAUGGGGCAAUUUUCUCAUUAUUUACACAGUUGAAAUGCACUGUUGAUGUUAUGGUGCAAUAUUAUUGACACAACUGCAGACACACACAAUCCUCACUUGGAAGGAUGCUGCAGGACCAGAAAAACUACUGUGCAAGCUGAAACUGAACAAGGCAAUCUGAUCAAUCAAUGGGGAAAAUACCCUUGUCCAGUGACAUCCAAAUUUUUUCAUCAAAACAUUAAAAACUCUCUUACUUGCAAUUUAAAAUACAUAGAAAACUUAAAAAUAGCAAGGCUGAUAUUUAUUUAGUAUACUGUAAGUAAAAACACUGAGAAUUAAAUGUGAUUUUUAAAAAACAAAUCAUAUUAAGAGUAGUUUGACAUCUUGCUAUUUGUGACAACACGGAUGGACCUCGAGGGUAUUACGCGAAGAGAAAUAAGUCACACAGAGAAAGAGAAAUACCAUAUGAUUUCACUCGUGUGUGGAAGAUAAACAACCAAACACAUAGACACAGAGAACCAACUGAUGGUUACCAGAGGGGAACGGGGUUGAGGGAGGGUAAAAGGGCACAUGGGUACAACGACGGAUGGCAACUAGACUUCUGGUGGGGAACACGAUGUAAUCAAUACAGAAAGUGAAAUAUAAUGCUGUGCACCUGACAUCCACACAAUGCUAUAAAGCAACGUUACCUCAAUAAAAAAGAGCAGUUUCAACAGUGCUUGCCUCUUCGCAUUGUAUAUUUUCUAUGACUUGAUGGAUUGCCCUAGUCCUUUCUAACUUUUGAUCAGCUUUCAACAUUGCAUUCUUCGCACUUUCACUGUCCUGCGAUGUUUCAGAGUUCCCUUAACGUCCAAGUUUUCACCAGCGUCACCUCCCCUGGGACGUCUUCAGCCUGGGCUCGUUCAUGUUGGUAAGCUCGCCUUCAUGAAGCUCCUCUGGUCACACACCUACAGUGUCUCAAACAGCAUCAUCAUACCCCUGCUCAGCUGUCUCCUAAUCACAUCCAAGCUCACUUCUCGCAUCAUCACUUUUCACUUCUUUGCUGCAUUUCCAUCUUUCUUGGGCAAUUCCCUCUUUCGAUUAUCCAUUUCAGGGGGGAGACAAGAUGGCAACAAAACAAUACAUUUUGUCGUCUGUGUGACGUGAAAAACAGAUAUGCCCUGAGUAACCACCGACAGAUCACUGUUGUCACUGAUCAUGAUGUGCCUUCGUGAUCUAGCUAGUGAUCUGCAGACUGAACAGGUAGCAGAAACUUUGAACAGGCAGCAGCACAGUUUCUACACUGGGGUCACGGACAUGAAAACCACCUUGUGGGACUACUGGUCUUCUUUAAGCCGUGGUAGUUGAAACUUUUGCAUACAGGAACCAGGCAACGUGAGCUCUCUCUCUUUCUCUUUCUCUUUCUGUUUUUAUACAGAAACAUCUGCUGGCAGGCAUUUUGGAGCCUCAGCUGUAAUGAAGAAUUAAUAGGCCAGGGUCUCAGGUAGAAUAGAAAUCCAGAGAGCAGAACCUGACAUUUGGCAACUGCCUUCGCCUCACGGCCAUUUGCAAACCCAGUAGAGGCUGAUGAGAGGCUACCUUACAUUUUUGGCAGAUGGAAGAGGUUAGGGGGACAAAGGUUUCAGUCCAGAGCCUACUGAGACUGGCGUUUUGGUAAGCCCCUUCCCAGGAAUUUGGAGUGGGACUCUGAACAGCCACAUUUUAGAAAUAAAAGUGAACCAGAAAUAAUUAAGCCCUCGUAAGGGCUGCAACCCAACUUUGAGCUCUCUUGUUGGCCCACAAAAAUCUGAGUCCUUAAAAUUGGAUUAAGGAGAUUCCAGAUUGAUGGUGCCACCUUAAGAAGGGGAAAAUAAUUCUAGGCCUCAAAUUAUUUCUACAAGCAAUUUUGAAAGUGAAAUACGUAGCUCAUAGCCAAAGAUAAAUAGGCUCAUAAGGAGAAAAUAAUAUAAACAAGACCAGAAGUAACAACCCAUAAUAGCACUAGACAAGCAACGACUCCCGACAUCAGAAUUACUAGGCACUAGCUGAGGAGUCCAACUCCUGUUGAAAACCCAUAUGUGAUGGACUUAAUGUUUGUGUCCCCUCCAAUUCUUAUGUUGAAGCCCCAAUCCCCAAUGUGAUGGCAUUUGGGGAUGGGACCUUUUAGUUAAUUGGGUUUAGAUGACGGUGGAGCCCCAGGGAUAGAAUUAGUGCCCUUAUAAGAAGAGGAAGGAACCAGACCCCCCGCCCCCCCUCUGCCAGGACAGGACAUAGUGAGAAGAUGGUUGUCUAUAAACCAGGAAGCAGGUCUUAACCAGACAGUGAAUCUGCCAGCGCCUUGAUCUUGGGCACCUUGAUCUGGAACUUCCAGCUCCAGAACCGUGAGAGAGAAAUGCCUGUUGUUUAGUUCAACCAGUCAGUGGUAAUUUGUGAUAGCAGCCUGAACGGACUAAGACACUAUGUGUAAUUUUUCAGGCCCGACCAUGGAAAUUACAAAGGCUUUAUGUGACAGGCCUCAUCUGGCUAGGCAUGCUGUUCCAUGUUUGCAUUCCUAGCCCUGGUGCUGCCAUUCCCAGGUCUCUUUAUCUGAGGCCUUGGACAGAGGUCUUCCUCAGGCGCUUCCGCUGAGGUCUCCUUACGGGGGAAGAGGAGAACCUUGAAGACAAUUUUCUGCACUCUGACUGAGCAUCCCGAAUUUUUCCACUCCUGGCCCUUCUCCCGCAUCCUCUCCUCAGCCUCAGGGUCCACAAACCUGCCAGAACGCUUUUUGGACUCCUUCAACAGUGUGAUGACCCUCAUGUAUGUGCUGAGUCACCUGGCCAGGACCAGU